rnacentral:misc_RNA from 1 species
AUAGACGUCACGUCUUCUCUAUUUUCCAUUUCCUCCAUUGCCUUCUCGUUUUUCCUUCAUCCAUUGAAAAUCCAAGAUAUUCCUAAUAGCCUUCGCUUACUCGCCUUAGCUAAACAUGUGUGGUGGAGCUAUUAUAGCAGAUCUCAUUCCUCGCAACCGCGCCCGCGGCAUCACCCCUUCUGACAUAUGGCCUAACUCAUCCUUCUCUAAACGCAGCCCCUUCGAAUCCCAUCCGAACUCAUUCGGCAACCACGAAUCUUUCACUCUCAAAAGAUCGCAAUCUGCUUCAGAUGAUGAUCAUGUGAAAAAGACCCCCGCCAAGAGGCAGAGGAAGAACUUGUAUAGAGGUAUCAGGCAACGUCCGUGGGGCAAAUGGGCUGCGGAGAUUCGCGACCCAAGGAAAGGAGUCCGCGUUUGGCUUGGCACCUUCAACACCGCUGAAGAAGCUGCUCGUGCCUACGAUAGAGAGGCUCGUAAAAUUCGCGGGAGUAAAGCCAAAGUCAAUUUCCCCAAUGAAGACGACACCACUUCCCAACACCACCUUAACCGUCCACAUCAGAGGAAUCCCAGUCCCCCUCUGUACCAACCCCUCACUUGUAAUUUCAGCAAUCCCCC